rnacentral:misc_RNA from 1 species
AACGCAUCUUGCGCUCCUUGGUAUUCCGAGGAGCAUGCCUGUUUGAGUGUCAUUAAAUUCUCAACUCUCUUAUACUUUGUUGUACAGGAGAGCUUGGAAUGUGGAGGUUUGCUGGCCACUUGCUGGGGUCAGCUCCUCUGAAAUGCAUUAGCGGAACUGUUUGCGAUCUGCCACAAGUGUGAUAAAUUAUCUACACUGGCUGAGGGGGAUUGCUCUCUGUGUUCAGCUUCUAAUCGUCUCAGUGACAAUUUUUUGAAUGCUUGACCUCAAAUCAGGUAGGACUACCCGCUGAACUUAA